GAUGAAGAACGCAGCGAAAUGCGAUAAGUAAUGUGAAUUGCAGAAUUCCGUGAAUCAUCGAAUCUUUGAACGCAUAUUGCGCCCUCUGGUAUUCCGGAGGGCAUGCCUGUCCGAGCGUCAUUACUACCUUCAAGCCCCCGGCUUGUGUUGGGGACCUGCGGCUGCCGCAGGCCCUGAAAAGCAGUGGCGGGCUCGCUGUCACACCGAGCGUAGUAGCAUACAUCUCGCUCUGGGCGUGCUGCGGGUUCCGGCCGUUAAACCACCUUCAUAACCCAAGGUUGACCUCGGAUCAGGUAGGAAGACCCGCUGAACUUAAGCAUAUCAAUAAGCGGAGGA
rnacentral:misc_RNA from 1 species